rnacentral:rRNA from 1 species
CCUACGGGAGGCAGCAGUGGGGAAUAUUGCACAAUGGGGGAAACCCUGAUGCAGCGACGCCGCGUGAGUGAAGAAGUAUCUCGGUACGUAAAGCUCUAUCAGCAGGGAAGAAAAUGACGGUACCUGACUAAGAAGCCCCGGCUAACUACGUGCCAGCAGCCGCGGUAAUCCGUAGGGGGCAAGCGUGAUCCGGAUGUACUGGUUGUAAAGGGAGCGUAGACGGCAGCACAAGUCUGGUGUGAAAUCACGGGGCUUAACCCCGGAACUGCUUUGGAAACUGUGCGGCUGGAGUGAAGGAGGGGUAAGCGGAAUUCCCAGUGGAGCGGUGAAAUGCGUAGAGAUUAGGAGGAACACCGGUGGCGAAGGCGGCUUACUGGACUGUAACUGACGUUGAGGCUCGAAAGCGUGGGGAGCAAACAGGAUUAGAUACCCGGGUAGUC